CCCUUAGAUGUUCUGGGCCGCACGCGUGCUACACUGAGUGGAUCAGCGGGUCAGGUUGCGCGAAAGUGUUUCCUAAUCUUGAAAUCCGCUCGUGAUGGGGAUUGACGGUUGCAAUUUUCCGUCAUGAACGAGGAAUACCUUGUAAGCGCGGGUCAUCAUCCCGCGCUGAAUACGUCCCUGCCCUUUGUACACACCGCCCGUCGCUCCUACCGAUUGAGUGGUCCGGUGAGGCUUUGGGAUCUGAGCAAAGAGAGCGUUUCGCUCGGUUUGCUCGGAAAACUCAGUCGAACCUUAUCAUUUAGAGGAAGGAGAAGUCGUAACA
rnacentral:rRNA from 1 species